rnacentral:rRNA from 1 species
UACGAAGGGUGCAAGCGUUACUCGGAAUUACUGGGCGUAAAGCGUGCGUAGGCGGUUUGUUAAGUCUGUCGUGAAAGCCCUGGGCUCAACCUGGGAAUGGCGAUGGAUACUGGCAAGCUAGAGUACGGUAGAGGAUGGUGGAAUUCCCGGUGUAGCGGUGAAAUGCGUAGAGAUCGGGAGGAACACCCGUGGCGAAGGCGGCCAUCUGGACCAGUACUGACGCUGAGGCACGAAAGCGUGGGGAGCAAACAGG